AAGUUGGUGGCGUAGUGGUUUGAGUGUUGGACUAUGACUCUGGAGACCAGGGUUCAAUUCCUUCUCACUUG
rnacentral:tRNA from 1 species